rnacentral:rRNA from 1 species
GUGUCAGCAGCCGCGGUAAAACGUAGGUGGCAAGCGUUAUCCGGAUUUACUGGGUGUAAAGCGUGUGCAGGCGGUCGUGUAAGUAGCGCGUGAAAGCGCCCGGCUCAACCGGGCGAGGACGUGCUGUACUGCACGACUGGAGAUGGGUAGAGGCGAGUGGAAUUCCGGGUGUAGUGGUGAAAUGCGUAGAUAUCCGGAGGAACACCAGAGGCGAAGGCGACUCGCUGGGCCCGUUCUGACGCUCAGACACGACAGCAUGGGGAGCGAACGGGAUUAGAAACCCCAGUAGUCC